rnacentral:misc_RNA from 1 species
UUCUCGCCACAGAGUGUUUCUGGUUAGCACGUGUGUCUAGAAUUUUUGUUUAUUUUGAGUGAUUUAGUGCCUUUUUGUGACUUGUUUUUGUUUUUGUGUGUUGUCCUUGUGUGUGUUUCUGUGUGUGAACGUUUUUUUUCCGCCAAUUUAAUUACAGCCGAUCCUGCGCACUUCUCCCUUCAAGGGUAUGACCUGCUGAACCUUCCAAAAGCGCAUCUUGAGACUGCAUGGCAAGAGUAUUGGAACGUUUCCAGCAGUAAAAAGGUGCCGUCCUACUAACGCAACAAGUUCUACAAUAAGUGCAAAGUUUUCUCCUUUCAGUUUUUAAAAUUGUUAUCGUACCUACUUGCUUCUCAUGUCACUUGUCAGUGGCAGAAUCGUCGACAUCAACAUCGACGGCAGAGAUUGCCAGAAACAAAAAUAGAAUAGAAUAGAAUAGAAAAAACAG